GAUCCGGCGGAGACCCAUAGCAGAGGCUGGCAGGAAGCAGCGUGGGGGUGGGGGCUCCGGUCCCUGGGGUGGCGGGGGAACCUGGAUGGGCACAGUGAAGCCAGGCCUUGGAGGGCGGGAGAAGAUGGGAGAGGAAAUGGGGAGCCCCAUUGGUGCUGGAACAGAGUCAUAACUUGGCAGAAACUGGUAGGACUGCGGAAUCGCGGGAUCAGGAAGCGCGUAGGCACUCCCGGAGCGUGCAGGGCAGGUGCUGCUGGAGAGAGAGCUGGCCAAGCUGAGCGCCGAGCUGGACAAGGACCUGCGGGCAAUUGAGACCCGACUGCCGUCCCCCAAGCUCGGCCUCAGCCUGGAGCUCCAGCUCCCCGCAUGCACCUUACCUGGGUUCCGCCCGGUCCCUGAGCUCCCACAGAAUGGCUGAUGGAGGAAGCCCCUUCCUAGGUCAGAGGGACUUUGUCUACCCUUCCUCAACCCGAGACCCUAGUGCCUCUAACGGAGGGGGCAGCCCAGCCAGGAGGGAAGAGAAGAAGAGGAAGGCCGCCAGGCUCAAGUUUGACUUCCAGG
rnacentral:sRNA from 1 species